rnacentral:lncRNA from 1 species
UUCUGCAGUACACUUAUACGUGCCCGUUCUCUCUCCCUCUUUAAAUUUUCCUCUAUAUUUACUAUGGCUUUAUACCCAAAGCAAUCUACUAUAUUUUAUUCAAUCUCACAAGCAAUCAAGAGAAAAAUCUCAGCAAAACAAGUUCCCACAAUUUUUCUUUCCAAGUGCAUAUUAUAAUAUAAGAUUCAUUACGUAAGGUGAGAUGCUCAGUGCUAUUAGUGAUUUUUUUCCACGUCUUUAAAAUGUGCUGUUAUGUGUGAAUUUAAUUACUUCAGUUCAUGGUUCCUUGGGGAGAAAUCAUGAUACAUUUUAAGGCACAAUUUAACUUUUACGUUAUUUUUGCAAUGCUUGCUAGAUUAUUAUUUCUCAUGGUGUAAUUAUUCUCAUUUUAUGUUGGUAAGAGAAUUUAUGCAUAAUUUCAUAUUUGAUUUAAAUGUGGAGUACCAAGCAUCUCAUUGAGUAUAAUUCGUUAUACACAUCCCUCUUUAUUUACAAGUUUCAGGUAAAAAUAAGUAUGAUGGACGACAAUGGAUGGAUAUGCUAUUAGACUAAUAGAUUCUGAUCAUGAUGUACUUUAAUUUUUGAGAACAUUAGAAUUUUAAAUAACAUUUUAUUAUUUUAUUAUUUAUUAUUUUUUGUUUUUAGACUGAAUUGUGAGUGACGUUAUAUUUUUCAAUUAGUCCUAAUUUCAUUGUCUGUUAGAACUAGUCUUUAUUAAUGGUUGAUGAAGGAUAUGAUUUCAAAACGUUCUACAUAUUUUAUUAAAUUUAAUUUAUCUUUUGUUAAAGGCUAUUCAAUUUUACUAAAUUUCUCAUUAUAUUAAAAUUAUUUGCUUCAAGCACUUUGAUAACUUCAUGUUUCGUAACGUUUCGGGUUGCUAGAAUUCGGGGCGUUACAAACAAGAAUUUCAUGUAUUGUCACGUUAUUUAAUUACAUUGAAACAGAUUGAUAAAGGGCAUUCGAGGUCUCAGCAACAUCUCAUGUAAAUUUACAAAACCUUCAUAAUUUGCGCACUAAAAUUCUUAGUUUAAUUAGAUUAAAUCGUAUAAAUUCUUCAAACACAAUUGGAUAUUUGAUUAGAGCUAGAAUUGAUUGACCCUUGAUUAAGUACAUAGUCUUCUUAAGAAUGAUAUCCUAUUUAUCACUUUAGUACGUGUUUGCAACACUGUACACUUGCACAAAAAAUCGAACAAUCAAGUUUUUAGCAUCGUUAUGGGGGACUAUUAUAAUUAAUUAGUUUUAGUUACCUUUAGCUUUAAUUUGAAUUUUUUUUUCUUUUCAGUUUCAGUUUCAUAUUAAAAAAGUACUAUAGAGCUUUAUUUUUUUAUUUUUAAGAUGUACUAUUCGAGGCACGAUGAUCAUGCUCAAUUUGAUCUAGAAAUCGAACGAAUAUUCAUGUUAAGAAGAAAAGAACGGAUAGAAGCACAACAAAAAUGGCAAGUAAAACUAGCGGCAAAAAAUAUACUAUAUCAAUUAGUUGUUGAGAUGAUUAUAAAUAUAGCACAUCCGAUCGUAGCUACGAGUAGUAAGAAUCAGAGACUAAUGAGAGAUUACAUUGUUCCACUGGUCGUGGAAAGCAGACCAGACAUAGCCUAUCCAGCAUUCAGGCAAGCAAAUUUUCACUUAAGGACGGAUGUAAUAAACAUGCUCCAAAUUGUGUUGCAAUUAUUUGGGAGACCAAUUGAUAAUCCAAAUGUUUAUAUCUCCAAAAUUUUGGAUAUGUGUGCAAUAAUUGAAUAUCCAAGGGUUUUUGGUGAUACAAUUUGACCGAGGCCCUUUUCUUACACUUUGAGAGAUUUUUCAACCAAACGGUUUGACACGUUCCUACUUCACAGCAUCACCUUGAGACAAUUUGAGCCAGAAGAUCUUCAAUAAAUAUUUCCCACGAAAAAUGAUUGCCAAGUUUAGAGAUGACAUCACUACAUUCUCACAACUUAAUUCAGAGUGCCAUUAUGAUGUAUUGAAAAGAUAAAAAGGUUUGCUUUGAAAAUGUCCACAACAAGGGUUGCAAAAGUGGCUACAAGUCCAGUUCUUUAAAAAUAUCCUGACUCCGACUAGUAGGAUAACGUUGACUUUGCAUGUGAUGGGUCAAUUACGAGAAAGACAACGGAUCAGGUGUUUCAGACCAUGGAAGAUCUAGCAUAUACCAGUGGACUAUGGCCAGCAGAAAGAUCGGGAGGAAAAAGAGCUUCAAGAAUGCAUUAGGUUGACUCAAUGGUUGCCAAGGACAGAUAUUUAUAUAGAUAUAUAUUUUGUUAAUCGUAAUUUGUUAGCCCACCAACAAGUAAUUUCAAAUGGGUUUUUCCACCUACAAUUCCUCAAAUGAUAUUUUGUUUCGAUCUUUAGCCCACUUAUUUAUAUAAUUUUUAGCCCAUUUUUUUACCACAAACUUAUUUAAUUUGUUCCAAUAGAUUCAAUACCCACUUCUUUCCAUCUUUCUUCACGUAAUCACGUUCCCUUGCAAAACCAAUUGAAAUAAUUCUUUCAACUUUGGGGUUUAUUUUUGUUAUUCAGAAAAUGGGUUUUUAGUGUUUUGGAUUUUUUUGUUUAAUUAGCUUGUAGGUGAAUCAUUUUGAAGUACAGUGUUAUUUGCUAAGAAGAGGGUUCAAAGGCUGUUGAACUAGUUGAGGAGGUUCAAGGUUGGUUCCUUGA